UCGAGGCAGCGACGAACUUCAUCUGGUAGUAGGCGAAGUCCUUCCCCAGGCACAGUCUUGGUCCGCCAUUGAAGGCCGUGAACUUGUACGCGGACUCGCUCAUGAAUCGCCCAUCCUUGAGCCACCGCUCCGGUUUGUAGUCCCUGCAGUCCUUUCCCCAUAUGCUUUCCAUUCUUCCCAUGGAGAAUAUGGCGUAGAUAACCUUUGUUCCUUUCUUGAGCACAGUGCCAUCAGGAAACACAUCAUCCUCCACAACCUGACCACGCAAAACAGUGCUCAGCAAGCAUAUCACUGGAAACAUAUGGCCAGCAAAGAGCCAUGUUACUCCACAUGCAUUUGGCAGGAAGGUAUGAGUUCUAGUCAUGAUUUUUGUACCUUUCAGAUUUCUUUUUCUUUUGC
rnacentral:lncRNA from 1 species